AGAGUUUGAUCCUGGCUCAGAACGAACGUUGGCGGCGUGGAUUAGGCAUGCAAGUCGAGCGGAAAGGCCCCUUCGGGGGUACUCGAGCGGCGAAAGGGUGAGUAAUGCGUGGGUACCUACCCCAAGGUCUGGGAUAGCCGCGGGAAACUGCGGGUAAUACCGGAUGAUAUCCUUCGGGAUCAAAGGUGUGAUUCCGCCCUGGGAGGGGCCUGCGUCCUAUUAGCUUGUUGGUGAGGUAACGGCUCACCAAGGUGAUGAUGGGUAGCGGGCGUGAGAGCGUGGCCCGCCACACUGGGACUGAGACACUGCCCAGACUCCUACGGGAGGCUGCAGUCGAGAAUAUUCGGCAAUGGGCGAAAGCCUGACCGAGCGACGCCGCGUGCGGGAUGAAGGCCUUCGGGUUGUAAACCGCUGUCAGAGGGGCUGAAAGCCAAGGGGGCUAUCCCCCUUGGUUGACAUAGCUUCAGAGGAAGCACGGGCUAAGUUCGUGCCAGCAGCCGCGGUAAGACGAACCGUGCAAACGUUGUUCGGAAUCACUGGGCUUAAAGGGUGCGUAGGCGGCUUAGCAAGUCGGGUGUGAAAUCCCUCGGCUCAACCGAGGAACUGCGCCCGAAACUGCUUGGCUCGAGGGAGAUAGGGGCGCGUGGAACUUCGGGGUGGAGCGGUGAAAUGCGUUGAUAUUGGAAGGAACGCCGGUGGCGAAAGCGGCACACUGGGGCUUUUCUGACGCUGAGGCACGAAAGCUAGGGGGAGCGAACGGGAUUAGAUACCCCGGUAGUCCUAGCUGUAAACGAUGAGCACUGGGUUGAGGUGGUUCCGAUGCCGUCUCGACCGAAGCAAAAGUGUUAAGUGCCUCCGCCUGGGGAGUAUGGUCGCAAGGCUGAAACUCAAAGGAAUUGACGGGGGCUCACACAAGCGGUGGAGCAUGUGGCUUAAUUCGAGGCUACGCGAAGAACCUUAUCCUGGGCUUGACAUGCACGAAUGCCGGCGGGGAAACUCGUUUGGCUGCCUUCGGGUGAAACGUGCACAGGUGCUGCAUGGCUGUCGUCAGCUCGUGUCGUGAGAUGUCGGGUUAAGUCCCUUAACGAGCGAAACCCUUGUCCUUAGUUGCCAGCGGGUCAUGCCGGGGACUCUAGGGAGACUGCCGGUGUUAAACCGGAGGAAGGCGGGGAUGACGUCAAGUCCUCAUGGCCUUUAUGCCCAGGGCUGCACACGUGCUACAAUGGCGCGUACAAAGGGAAGCGAUCUCGCAAGAGCAAGCAAAUCCCAAAAAGCGCGCCCCAGUUCGGAUUGGGGGCUGCAACUCGCCCCCAUGAAGUUGGAAUCGCUAGUAAUCGCAGGUCAGCAAUACUGCGGUGAAUAUGUUCCUGAGCCUUGUACACACCGCCCGUCAAGCCACGAAAGCGGGGGGCAUCCGUAGUCGCUAAGCUAACCCUUCGGGGAGGCAGGCGCCGAAGAUGAACUCCGUGAUUGGGACUAAGUCGUAACAAGGUAACCA
rnacentral:rRNA from 1 species